rnacentral:rRNA from 1 species
UAAACCAUGCACCGAAGCUGCGGCAGCGAACGUAUCACUUAAAGCGAUUCAGCGGGUUACGAUUGACGGAGCGAAGCGACGUCAAAGCGUAUACAAAGUCGAGUCGGUUUAAGGAUACGUUCGUUGGGUAGGGGAGCGUUCUGUAAGCCUGCCACUCAGGUGUUGUUGGGUAGGGGAGCGUUCUGUAAGCCUGCGAAGGUGGCCUGUGAGGGUUGCUGGAGGUAUCAGAAGUGCGAAUGCUGACAUAAGUAACGAUAAAGCGGGUGAAAAGCCCGCUCGCCGGAAGACCAAGGGUUCCUGUCCAACGUUAAUCGGGGCAGGGUGAGUCGACCCCUAAGGCGAGGCCGAAAGGCGUAGUCGAUGGGAAACGGGUUAAUAUUCCCGUACUUGGUGUUACUGCGAAGGGGGGACGGAGAAGGCUAUGUUGGCCGGGCGACGGUUGUCCCGGUUUAAGCGUGUAGGUGUGUGUUCCAGGUAAAUCCGGUUCACUUUAACACUGAGGCGUGAUGACGAGGCACUACGGUGCUGAAGCAACAAAUGCCCUGCUUCCAGGAAAAGCCUCUAAGCAUCAGGUAACAUCAAAUCGUACCCCAAACCGACACAGGUGGUCAGGUAGAGAAUACCAAGGCGCUUGAGAGAACUCGGGUGAAGGAACUAGGCAAAAUGGUGCCGUAACUUCGGGAGAAGGCACGCUGACACGUAGGUGAAGUGAUUUACUCAUGGAGCUGAAGUCAGUCGAAGAUACCAGCUGGCUGCAACUGUUUAUUAAAAACACAGCACUGUGCAAACACGAAAGUGGACGUAUACGGUGUGACGCCUGCCCGGUGCCGGAAGGUUAAUUGAUGGGGUCAGCGCAAGCGAAGCUCCUGAUCGAAGCCCCGGUAAACGGCGGCCGUAACUAUAACGGUCCUAAGGUAGCGAAAUUCCUUGUCGGGUAAGUUCCGACCUGCACGAAUGGCGUAAUGAUGGCCAGGCUGUCUCCACCCGAGACUCAGUGAAAUUGAACUCGCUGUGAAGAUGCAGUGUACCCGCGGCAAGACGGAAAGACCCCGUGAACCUUUACUAUAGCUUGACACUGAACAUUGAGCCUUGAUGUGUAGGAUAGGUGGGAGGCUUUGAAGUGUGGACGCCAGUCUGCAUGGAGCCGACCUUGAAAUACCACCCUUUAAUGUUUGAUGUUCUAACGUGGACCCGUAAUCCGGGUUGCGGACAGUGUCUGGUGGGUAGUUUGACUGGGGCGGUCUCC